UUGGGGAUCUACAGCAACCAAAGGCUUUUCCCUGACUUCAUAUGACUGCGGCAGGCGAGCGAGUGAGUCGUCCCUGAGGAAAAAGAGGCAAGGCUUUUCCGAGAUCGUCUCAGCGAUGGCGCUUCGGUCGCGGUUCUGGGGGUUCUCCGUUUGCAGGAACCCUGGGUGCAGGUUCGCAGCCCUCUCAACCAGCUCCAAGUCGGCGGCGAAACCUGAAGUGCACCGUGUGGAAAAUGAAGCUGUCGCCCCAGAGUUCACCAAUCGGAACCCCCGGAACCUGGAGCUUCUAUCUGUAGCCAGGAAAGAGCGGGGCUGGCGGACGGUGUGGCCCUCCCGUGAGUUCUGGCACAGGUUGUGAGUUAUAAGGACUCAGCGUCAUGUAGAAGCACUUGUGGAGCAUCAAAAUGGCAAAGUUGUGGUUUCGGCAUCCACUCGUGAAUGGGCUAUUAAAAAGCACCUUUAUAGUACCAGAAAUGUGGUGGCUUGUGAGAGUAUAGGACGAGUACUGGCACAGAGAUGCUUAGAGGCGGGAAUCAACUUCAUGGUCUACCAACCAACCCCAUGGGAGGCAGCCUUAGACUCCAUGAAACGACUACAAAGUGCCAUGACAGAAGGUGGUGUGGUUCUACGGGAACCUCAGAGAAUCUAUGAAUAAAUGAAUAAAUGGAAGCAUUAAUUGUUUUGAACAUGUAAAUAUAAAACUGUCAGCCACUACAGCCAUCAAAAGAGAGCAUCUGGAAGAACAGCCAGCUUGGAAGUUUUACAGCAAUAAUGUUGCAGUGGAAUAUUAUUUGUAGUUAAGGUCAUCCUCCUUCCCUUUCUGUUUUUUUAAAUCAAGAACUACAUUCUGCCCCUGUCUUGGGCUUCAGAAGCAUCUAAGAAAAGCAGUCGUCAAUUAUAAUUAACUUUCAAAGGGCAAGUCAGAAGUUGUCUAUAAAUUACAAAAUAAAGGCAUGUUAUGAA